CCUCAUUUCUUCCUAGCAUUCAAGACAUUCCAUUUUUCUUUCUAAUCUCGCAUCGCAGCUCCAUCUCUGUCUCUAUCAAAAUCGCAGAGGAUCUCCGACAUGCAAAAUGAUCUUCUAAGCAAGGACAACAACUGCGAUCGGAAAUUCACCGUCUCGAUUGUUCAGAUUGAAGUUGUUACUCUGUAUUUUAUUUCUCCAUGUGCAUCUCUUUUCUUUGUUUCAUGUUAUUAUAGACUUAGAUAUUUAUGUGCAUGCAUCUAAUAUUUGGUAAGGAUCUGAGCACAAAUCUCAGAAAACAAAGGUAUAAAUCUUUGUCUUUGACUUUUUUAUUCAAAUUGUUGUGCUUAUUGAGCGACAAAACAACCAAUUUCUGAUAUAUUUGUAUGUAUAGUUUAUGAAUUGGGCAUGAAAAUUUAUUUGGGUGAAGUUGAAUUCUGCAUAUAAAUUGUUUGUUUAGAUUAAUUUGUUGUAUGGAGCUGAAACUUACCUUGCCGCGAUUUAGUUGUACCUCUAAAGACGUAUCUGCCAGAUGGAGAUAUUGAUUUGACUGCUUUGGGUGGUAUGAAUGUUGAGAAGGCGCUGGCCAAUGACAUAUGCGAUGUCCUUGCCUCUUAAUUUAUGGUGAAAGAUGUCCGAUGGAUUCGGGCAGAGGUUUUAAGCUUUUACCUCGUAAUUUUAUUAGAUUGAUGAUAAGUAUAAGUUACAACUUAGUGUUGACGCUGCCAUCUAUGUCUAGUAAAGUUUUUGUGUUGAGUUUAUGUUGUGUAACUUGCAUUUUCCUUGAAUUAAAUCAUUACGUGCGUGUCUAUGUCAUUAGUCAUUAUUUUGAUUCUAUUUAAAAAACUUGUGAUUUUCCUCUGCAAAGACUAUUUGUUUUUGCUGUGGCAAGUCAAGCUUGUAACAUUGGGGUCGAUAGUUCCUUCAAUCAGUUAGGAGAGCUAUGUACGAUGUGCUUUCAUGAGCAGGGAGUCAUUCACACAGAGCUGAAUUGAAAAUGAAGUUCAAUUUGUCACAUAUGAAUUGAAUGAUUUAUCAGAUUUCAUUCAUAUAAUCGGAUUCUUUUAUGGAAGCUCUGAGUUGUCUAAUGAAACUUAUUUUUCAAGUCUUUUGUUGAAAGUAUAUGCUGAAUUAUGCCUUAUAACCGAUAAUCUUGAAUGGUAUUCAAUUAGUAGUACUCUGUGGAGUGGUGACUUCUCCCGCUUUUGUCUUUUUCAAGUCAUAGUUUUACUUUGAUCUUAUGGUAUGCUUUUGGUGAUCUGAGUGGAUUGUGAUUUUUUGGAAUUUAUGUCCCUUGUUAAUUGGCUUCCCUAAACAUAUCCAUCGUGCUUCUUAUUGCAUGGGUUGAUCACUUCAUUGGCAAAGACCAUCUUUUCAAACGCAGUAGCAUAAUAAUUAAGGCAAAGUGCUAUUAUGGGAGUCGAAUUCUUGGUGCCAUCAUGUUUUGAUUUCAACAUAUGAUUUGGAGACUUUGGUUCUGUAUAUUUUCCAUCCCAUCCAUUCAUCUUUGAAUGGUCCUCUAGAGUGGAGUAGAAGCACAUGCUUGAAGAGGAAGGGGAAUGUCCAUAAUGGAUAUAGCAAUCAACAUGCUUAUAAGAUGCCGAGGGUAUCCGCCAACGGGAAAAGCAAAUCUAAUACAUCCCAUGCCGCAUGACGAACAGUUCUUGUGGGGUACAUUGGACCUCCAUGAGAAAUGAAGUUAUAUAGGCAACAUGCAAGCCUUUAACCUUGUGCUUGUGGCCUUUCUCAGCUCUUUGGGGUUCUUAGGUUUUGUCUUAUAUACAACAUUCGAUUAUGUAACAAGUAGAAAUGUCUUCUACAAACUGGUUUCUUCUUUCCACAGGUGUUGAAUUAUGUGUACAAAUUAGAGCUUGAGUAUCCGAAAUUGAUAUUGCUUUCCGCACAA